CCUACGGGAGGCAGCAGUGAGGAAUAUUGGUCAAUGGACGAGCGUCUGAACCAGCCAAGUAGCGUGAAGGAUGACUGCCCUAUGGGUUGUAAACUUCUUUUAUAUGGGAAUAAAAUGUUCCACGUGUGGGAUUUUGUAUGUACCAUUUGAAUAAGGAUCGGCUAACUCCGUGCCAGCAGCCGCGGUAAUACGGAGGAUCCGAGCGUUAUCCGGUUUUAUUGGGUUUAAGGGGAGCGUAGGUGGAUUGUUAAGGCAGUUGUGAAAGUUUGCGGCUCAACCGUAAAAUUGCAGUUGAAACUGGCAGUCUUGAGUACAGUAGAGGUGGGCGGAAUUCGUGGUGUAGCGGUGAAAUGCUUAGAUAUCACGAAGAACUCCGAUUGCGAAGGCAGUUCACUGGACUGCAACUGACACUGAGGCUCGAAAGUGUGGGUAUCAAACAGGAUUAGAUACCCCGGUAGUC
rnacentral:rRNA from 1 species